GACGAACGCUGGCGGCGUGCCUAAUACAUGCAAGUUGAGCGCUGAAGGUUGGUACUUGUACCAACUGGAUGAGCAGCGAACGGGUGAGUAACGCGUGGGGAAUCUGCCUUUGAGCGGGGGACAACAUUUGGAGACGAAUGCUAAUACCGCAUAAAAACUUUAAACACAAGUUUUAAGUUUGAAAGAUGCAAUUGCAUCACUCAAAGAUGAUCCCGCGUUGUAUUAGCUAGUUGGUGAGGUAAAGGCUCACCAAGGCGAUGAUACAUAGCCGACCUGAGAGGGUGAUCGGCCACAUUGGGACUGGGACACGGCCCAAACUCCUACGGGAGGCAGCAGUAGGGAAUCUUCGGCAAUGGACGAAAGUCUGACCGAGCAACGCCGCGUGAGUGAAGAAGGGUUUCGGAUCGUAAAACUCUGUUGGUAGAGAAGAACGUUGGUGAGAGUGGAAAGCUCAUCAAGUGACGGUAACUACCCAGAAAGGGACGGCUAACUACGUG
rnacentral:rRNA from 1 species